rnacentral:rRNA from 1 species
UAACGCGUGGGUAACCUGCCUUCCAGAGGGGGACAACAGUUGGAAACGACUGCUAAUACCGCAUGAUGCAUUUGAAUCGCAUGGUUUGAAUGUCAAAGAUUUAUCGCUGGAAGAUGGCCUCGCGUCUGAUUAGCUAGUUGGUGAGGUAACGGCCCACCAAGGCGACGAUCAGUAGCCGGACUGAGAGGUUGGCCGGCCACAUUGGGACUGAGAUACGGCCCAGACUCCUACGGGAGGCAGCAG